AGCCUGAACGCUGGCGGCGUGGCUAAGACAUGCAAGUCGCACGGAGGUAGCAAUACCUUAGUGGCGAACGGGUGAGUAAAGUAUCGCUAACGUACCCUUUAGUCCGGGAUAGCCAGGGGAAACUCUGGGUAAUACCGGGAAACAUUCUCUUUUCGCAUGAUGAGAGACUCAAAGGAGCAAUCC
rnacentral:rRNA from 1 species